AACAGUUCUGGCUUCGUUUAGUUUUGAUUGCUUACUCAAAAUCUUUCCCAAAGCAACAUAUGGUCUCCCAUCUUCUGGCCAGAUAUCAAUACACUCCAUGCGUAAAAGAUACAGAAAUCAGUAACAUUAAUAACAAACAAUGAAGUGUCCUCUGGAUAUCAAGAGAAAAGAACAAGAAUGGCUACAGAAAUCAGUAACAUUAAUAACAAAUAAUGAAGUGUCCUCUGGAUAUCAAGAGAAAAGAACAAGAAUGGCUUUUUUUUUUUGGGAUCAACGAAUGCCACCUGUUGCAAAAUUUUCUCUGCAUCUGCAUACUGAUACUUUCGAGCCAAAAUCUUUGCCCUAUAU
rnacentral:lncRNA from 1 species